UACGUAGGGUGCAAGCGUUAAUCGGAAUUACUGGGCGUAAAGCGUGCGCAGGCGGUUUUGUAAGUUUGUCGUGAAAUCCCCGGGCUCAACCUGGGAAUUGCAUUUGUGACUGCACGGCUAGAGUGUGUCAGAGGGGGGUAGAAUUCCACGUGUAGCAGUGAAAUGCGUAGAGAUGUGGAGGAAUACCGAUGGCGAAGGCAGCCCCCUGGGAUAACACUGACGCUCAUGCACGAAAGCGUGGGGAGCAAACAGG
rnacentral:rRNA from 1 species